CGGGACGGGUGAGUAAUGUCUGGGAAACUGCCUGAUGGAGGGGGAUAACUACUGGAAACGGUAGCUAAUACCGCAUAACGUCGCAAGACCAAAGAGGGGACCUCGGGCCUCUUGCCAUCGGAUGUGCCCAGAUGGGAUUAGCUAGUAGGUGGGGUAACGGCUCACCUAGGCGACGAUCCCUAGCUGGUCUGAGAGGAUGCCAGCCACACUGGAACUGAGACACGGUCCAG
rnacentral:rRNA from 1 species